GACGUAGGUGGCGAACGUUAUCCGGAAUUAUUGGGCGUAAAGGGUGCGUAGGCGGCUUGAUAAGUUAUUGGCGGGAAAUCGAGGCUCAACCUCGUGGAAACUAAUAAUACUGUUUUGCUUGAGUACAGGAGAGGUUAACGGAACUCCAUGUGGAGCGGUAAAAUGUGUAGAUAUAUGGAAGAACAUCAAUAAUGGCGAAGGCAGUUAACUAUUCUGUUACUGACGUUGAGGCACGAAAGCGUGGGGAGCAAAACGG
rnacentral:rRNA from 1 species